rnacentral:rRNA from 1 species
GAAAAGAAAUCAACCGAGAUUCCCCCAGUAGCGGCGAGCGAACGGGGAGGAGCCCAGAGCCUGAAUCAGUGUGUGUGUUAGUGGAAGCGUCUGGAAAGGCGCGCGAUACAGGGUGACAGCCCCGUACACAAAAAUGCACAUACUGUGAGCUCGAUGAGUAGGGCGGGACACGUGGUAUCCUGUCUGAAUAUGGGGGGACCAUCCUCCAAGGCUAAAUACUCCUGACUGACCGAUAGUGAACCAGUACCGUGAGGGAAAGGCGAAAAGAACCCCGGCGAGGGGAGUGAAAAAGAACCUGAAACCGUGUACGUACAAGCAGUGGGAGCCUCUUAAUGGGGUGACUGCGUACCUUUUGUAUAAUGGGUCAGCGACUUAUAUUCUGUAGCAAGGUUAACCGAAUAGGGGAGCCGAAGGGAAACCGAGUCUUAACUGGGCGUUAAGUUGCAGGGUAUAGACCCGAAACCCGGUGAUCUAGCCAUGGGCAGGUUGAAGGUUGGGUAACACUAACUGGAGGACCGAACCGACUAAUGUUGAAAAAUUAGCGGAUGACUUGUGGCUGGGGGUGAAAGGCCAAUCAAACCGGGAGAUAGCUGGUUCUCCCCGAAAGCUAUUUAGGUAGCGCCUCGUGAAUUCAUCUCCGGGGGUAGAGCACUGUUUCGGCAAGGGGGUCAUCCCGACUUACCAACCCGAUGCAAACUGCGAAUACCGGAGAAUGUUAUCACGGGAGACACACGGCGGGUGCUAACGUCCGUCGUGAAGAGGGAAACAACCCAGACCGCCAGCUAAGGUCCCAAAGUCAUGGUUAAGUGGGAAACGAUGUGGGAAGGCCCAGACAGCCAGGAUGUUGGCUUAGAAGCAGCCAUCAUUUAAAGAAAGCGUAAUAGCUCACUGGUCGAGUCGGCCUGCGCGGAAGAUGUAACGGGGCUAAACCAUGCACCGAAGCUGCGGCAGCGACACUAUGUGUUGUUGGGUAGGGGAGCG